CUGAGUGCUAUUUGAGUAAUUUCGCUAUUUUGUUUAGAUAAAAGUCAUUGUUGUUUUCUCAAAUUGAUUUACUGUUAUGUGAUAAUCGCAGCUGUGUCUAUUCUGUUGGAAAAUUCAUGGUUAUUAUUCUUAUUUUUAAAUUUAUUAUGUCGUGUACACUAAAUUCAAGUUAAAAUUGAUCAUUAUUACUGGAUUGAGUAGGUUAUGUGGGGGCUCAGUUACUAAUUUUAUGCAAUUUUCUUUACUGAGAUAGUACGGGAUCAUUUCCACGUUCUUGAGGUGCUCCCUUUUAUUCAGUUUUGCACGAUUAAUUUCUGUUGGCGGAACGAUUUAAUGGGAUUCUUUUGAUUUUAUUUUGGGGUCUUGAAACCUAAAAUAUGAAGUUUGGUCGGCUUAGAAGAAUUCAUUGACUCUUUAGUUGAGUCUGAAAAUAUUUCCUUGGGACCGAAGAAAUGGCAGUAGUUAUUUAAAUUUGUUUUCUGUCGUUUUUGUUUUCUUUUAUUAUUUUAAUUUACUAUUUGUUGUUUUCUCUUUAUGUUAUCUGAUAGUGAAAAUCUAAUGCAAAUUGUUUUAAGUGGGACAUACCAAAACAAUCGAAACUUGUUCCAUACAGCUAUAGUCUCUUCUGUUUAGAGGUGAGUUGAAGUAUUCAACCUCUUGUGCUGCCAAGUUUGAUUGCUUUACUUUCUGUUGUGUUGACCUGAAGGGAAAAAACAGAAUAUGCUUUGCAGGUAUAAUUGUAAGACUGUUUUCAAACUUACUCUUUUACUUUGAAUUAGAUUCUUGUAUGAUUGAUAUAUUAUUGUAUGCCUAUUUUGUUAUAAGAUUUCAUUACAGAACUUUUCUCUUCUUGUAGUAACCAGAAUAAAGCUUGCUCAAUUGGAUAGGAAUUUCUGGAUUCUGGUUAAUUACUUAUUUUUUAAGAGGUUUCCAUGGGAAUAUUUGUUCAUGGAUCUUAUUAGGGAAAUUGCCACUCACUAGCUCACGACAAAGGCCAUGGUGCUAACUUUAAUUCUUCUCAACUUAUCCCAACAAGCAUCAAACAAGAGCCAAAUGGGUCUCAGUAUUUUGUGAGGCUCUAUGUGUCUGCGAGAUAUCAGGGGGUGCCUCCACUACCCCGCCCAGAGCUGAAUUUACAGCUUGGAAAAUGGGAAUUUCUUUGUGUAGCAGUUAGGUAUUUUUCAAGGUUUGCUAGGGACAAUUCUAUUAUUGCAGAAGUAGAAGCUCUUGCCACCAGCUUAGGUAGAUCCCUCACAGGGAGAGUUUUAGGAGAUAAGCAUGCAUUCACAAUUGCCCAGUACAGUGCUUCCUUUCAUGUUGCUGGGCGCUUAAAUGAAGUAUGGAUGGACCUUUCACCAUUUGCAACAAAGGGAUGCCCCUCCCCUCAGGGAAUGUAUUGAUAUGGUUGUUGAGUAGUGCGAGUUGAUUUCUAGCAACAAGUUGGACGUUCUGGGUGGGAAUGAACCAGAUAAUAUGCCUUUUAUGUAGAUAUGUCCCUUGUAAAUUUAAAACGUUCCAAAUGAUGGAGAACAUCUUGGUGCUCUGAUAUCAACUAUGGAAUAUUGUCAUGCAUCAAUAAACAGUUGUCUCCUGGUUCUGUUUUA